UUCAACGGACUCCUGGUGUCUGUGUCAUUGAUGCCAUUUUUCUCACCCCUUCCCUAAGGGAGAUGCUAUUUUCCACUAACACCUCCCUCACUCUGAUCCCAAUUCUUCAUCACAAUCUGGAAUAGUCUUAUAUUUACAGAUUCUCUAUACAGCCAAAUAAAGACUUUGGAAGCAUCAUGGCUCAGAAGAGCAACAUCCUUCUGGAAGAAAAUUCUGAUUUCUUUCUGGACUCUCAAAGAUUCAAUUCAGGAGAAGGAAAAUUCGACUAAAGAGGGCAAGGGAAGAAACUUGAGGAAAGAAC